UGGCAAAGCCUAUAUAUAAGCAGCAUCUCAGUGAAGCCAGGACCCUGCUGUAACAGUUACAUCGAAACAUUUCGCCUUUGGACUUCGUUGAUCUAUCUGGAUCAGGAGGUCUGCUUGGCAUUAGCAAGCACAAGGGCCGCCAGUGACUUUCUCCUGACCCCAGCGGCACUAUCUUCCCUCUCUAAAGAACACACGCUAAGCCUGGGGCUCAAGACUUCUUACUUUCAUUUUCACUAGUUGCUUUGUUCCCAGCCUACUUGCUUUGAUGUAAAUCUGUAGUCUUUCAGCAAGUCAAGGGCCAGGCUGAAAUCCCAGAGCAAAUUCCUCCAAGGCCAAAGAAGGAAAUGUUCAACAGUCUUUGGAAACCAAUAACCAAGAACAUUAGGUUAUCUUAUUUGGAUGUUAAUAUAUUGGAUGUUACAUAUUUUUCACCAAAAUUAGAUAUUUUAUGGAUUAGCUGUGUAUCUUCAUUACACCACAUUCUCUAACAAAGGUUAAAAGUGCGUGGAUAGGUCCAUGUUUUAAGUAGACUCCACAUUUUUUUAAAGUAUAAGGUUGUUCAAAACCAAGUCAAAGGGAAUACUGCCAUAGAGGCUCUGGUGUUAUAAACUUCACUUAAAUUGCUGUAUAGCUUAUGAUUUCUUGAGGAGAUGGCUAGUUCAACUAAGGGAAUUACACAGAACUAUGCCAAAAACAUGGGGGGAAACAUGGAAACUCUUUGCAUAGAAAC